rnacentral:rRNA from 1 species
CCUACGGGGGGCAGCAGUGGGGAAUAUUGGACAAUGGGCGAAAGCCUGAUCCAGCCAUGCCGCGUGUGUGAAGAAGGCCUUCGGGUUGUAAAGCACUUUCAGUGGGGAAGAAAGCCUUGGGGCUAAUACCCUCGACGAAGGACAUCACCCACAGAAGAAGCACCGGCUAACUCCGUGCCAGCAGCCGCGGUAAUACGGAGGGUGCGAGCGUUAAUCGGAAUUACUGGGCGUAAAGCGCGCGUAGGCGGUCUGAUAAGCCGGUUGUGAAAGCCCCGGGCUCAACCUGGGAACGGCAUCCGGAACUGUCAGGCUAGAGUGCAGGAGAGGAAGGUAGAAUUCCCGGUGUAGCGGUGAAAUGCGUAGAGAUCGGGAGGAAUACCAGUGGCGAAGGCGGCCUUCUGGACUGACACUGACGCUGAGGUGCGAAAGCGUGGGUAGCAAACAGGAUUAGAUACCCCAGUAGUC